rnacentral:rRNA from 1 species
CGCGUAGGUGGUAGUGUAAGUCUGGGGUGGAAUCCCAGGGCUCAACCCUGGAACUGCCUUGGAAACUGCAUUACUUGAGUCAGUGAGGGGAGGGUAGAAUUCCUGGUGUAGCGGUGAAAUGCGUAGAUAUCAGGAGGAAGGCCUGUGGCGAAGGCGGCCCUCUGGCGCUGGACUGACACUGAGGCGCGAAAGCGUGGGGAGCAAACAGGAUUAGAUACCCUGGUAGUCCACGCCCUAAACGGUGGGCACUAGGUGUAGGGCUCGUAAGGGUUCUGUGCCGAAGGGAAACCAUUAAGUGCCCCGCCUGGGGAGUACGGCCGCAGGGUUGAA